AGCGAACGCUGGCGGCAGGCCUAACACAUGCAAGUCGAGGGGUAGAGGAAGCUUGCUUCCUUGAGACCGGCGCGCGGGUGCGUAACGCGUAUGCAAUCUACCUUUUACAGAGGGAUAGCCCAGAGAAAUUUGGAUUAAUACCUCAUAGUAUUUUCGAAUGGCAUCAUUUGAUUAUUAAAGUUCCAACGGUAAAAGAUGAGCAUGCGUCCUAUUAGCUAGAUGGUAAGGUAACGGCUUACCAUGGCAACGAUAGGUAGGGGUCCUGAGAGGGAGACCCCCCACACUGGUACUGAGACACGGACCAGACUCCUACGGGAGGCAGCAGUGAGGAAUAUUGGACAAUAGGCGCAAGCCUGAUCCAGCCAUGCCGCGUGCAGGAAGACGCAUCUAUGGUGUGUAAACUGCUUUUGUACGGGAAGAAACACUCCCUCGUGAGGGAGCUUGACGGUACCGUAAGAAUAAGGAUCGGCUAACUCCGUGCCAGCCGCCGCAGUAAUAC
rnacentral:rRNA from 1 species